rnacentral:lncRNA from 1 species
UUGUAGAUGUGCGGGCAUGCUAUCGGCGUUGAUUAUUUUCGGCUGGUCACAGUGGUUCAGUUGUAUCGGGAACAUGCAACCACUCUAUUAGCAAAGAGUUACUGUGGGAUAAAGAUGAGGUUUGGCCCAAUAACUGUUAAGUGAGGGACCCAAUGACGGCUUUACACCUGCUUGUAAAUGGUGGGUCUGACUUAACUAAGAAGUAUGAACAAUAACUGUUAAGUGAGCCCACAUGACUUAGAGACC